GGACGGCAGGCUGCCAGUUCUCUGUGACGGACGCGCCACUACGAGAACUUGGAUUGAGCCAGGAGGGAGAGUCCAACAGCGUGUCGUCGCCACCGAGCUGCGAUGAGGCGUCGGAAACAAGCGCAGGCGAAGCUGUGUAGGCAGAUCUCUCAACACAACAGUUGCAUGCACUGCAAGUCCGUAAGACAAGAAGGACUACAGAAGUGUGCACGUUAAAGAAGGGAAAAGAAAGUCAAGGCGUUACCGAUGCAUCGCUUCUGGAGGACGACGGAAAAGCAGUUUUCUGCCACUGUUUUCGCUUCGACAGACAAAGUCAGAUUCUCCGGCGUGCAUUGAAUAGACGGCACGAUAGGCCAUUUACAGAAGCAGAGGUCCUAGGAGCCUGGCCUCACAGCGCAUCAGCUCAGUAUGCCACUCGAUAUUUUGUACAGUACCUAGAGGCGACAUACUUGAGUACCCGACCUUGGAUACGCUGAACCAGGCCUGGUUCAUGUAAAGGACUAUUCAACUCUGGAAUGAUCUGCCUGGUUCCAUGCGUUGUUUACCCUCAGAAAGAAUUUGGGGAUGCUACUGAUUACUCCCUUUAACCAUGUUCUCACGUAUGCUUCUUUUGUAGAGAGAGAGAGAGAGAAACAACUUUACUGGUCCAUUGUGAACUGAAACGCGUUAAGCGUCUGAUGGGGUGGCUCCCUCUUCGCGGGCUCCAUAUGCUUCC